AGGAGGAUCAUUUUCUGCAGCUCCUUCUGAAGCGCAGAUUGAGCUUUUCAACUCUUUGAUUGAUGGAUGUCGAGAGGCAGUCAAUAUGGGAAACAUUGAUCCGAAGGGGCCACUUCUAGAUUUUUGGUGUCUCUGUGAAAGCUAAUGAUCUUCUUACUCGAGUUCAAGCACUCCAGCUUCUAGCAAAGCGCAUCAACCACUACACUGAUCCAAUCAGGCAGUUCAGGGUGUUGACUUAUCUCAAACCUUCGAAUUGGUCCAAAGGCUGUGGAUGGAAUCAGAUUGACGAUGCAAGAUUACUGCUUGGCAUCUAUUAUCAUGGAUUUGGCAAUUGGGAGAAGAUACGGUUAGAUGGAAGUCUUGGCCUUACAAAGAAGAUUGCUCCAGUCGAACUUCAGCACCAUGAGACAUUUCUACCACGUGCUCCAAAUUUGCGAGACCGUGCAACUGCUCUUCUAGAAAUGGAACUUGAUGCUGCUGGAGGCAAGAAUUUAAUGUCAAAGGAGGACGUAAAGCCUCUAAGAAUGUCAAAGAUAAUGUUCUCAACACCGCUCAAACAAGGGAGAACAGAGCUGCUGCUCCUGUGAAAGUUAAGUUGCAAGCAAAAAAAGAAAGGCCUCAGAAAUUGGCGAAAGCUGAACCAUUAGCUAAAGAGGAAGGUGAAAUGUCAGAUGAUGAAGAAGUGUAUGAGCAGUUUAAGGAAGCGAAUGGAUGGAGUGGUGUGAAGAUGUCAUGGCGGAUGAGAUAAAAACGUUGAAUCGUCUUCAUAGAUUACAGACUACCAGUGCCAAUCUUCCCAAGGAAAAGGUGCUUGCAAGGAUUCGAAAUUAUCUCCAGCUCAUUGGAAGAAGGAUUGAUGGAAUCGUUUAUGAAUACGAGGAGGAGACUUACAAGCAAGACAGGAUGACCACGU